CCUACGGGAGGCAGCAGUGAGGAAUAUUGGUCAAUGGACGCAAGUCUGAACCAGCCAUGCCGCGUGCAGGAAGACGGCUCUAUGAGUUGUAAACUGCUUUUGUACGAGGGUAAAUACCGCUACGUGUAUCGGGUUGAAAGUAUCGUACGAAUAAGGAUCGGCUAACUCCGUGCCAGCAGCCGCGGUAAUACGGAGGAUUCAAGCGUUAUCCGGAUUUAUUGGGUUGAAAGGGUGCGUAGGCGGUCUGAUAAGUUAGAGGUGAAAUCCCGAUGCUCAACUUCGGAAUUGCCUCUAAUACUGUUGGGCUAGAGAGUAGUUGCGGUAGGCGGAAUGUAUGGUGUAGCGGUGAAAUGCUUAGAGAUCAUACAGAACACCGAUUGCGAAGGCAGCUUACCAAGCUACUUCUGACGUUGAGGCACGAAAGCGUGGGGAGCAAACAGGAUUAGAUACCCCUGUAGUC
rnacentral:rRNA from 1 species